rnacentral:rRNA from 1 species
AUACGUAGGGGGCGAGCGUUGUCCGGAAUGAUUGGGCGUAAAGGGCGCGUAGGCGGCCCGGUAAGUCUGGAGUGAAAGUCCUGUUUUUAAGAUGGGACUUGCUUUGGAUACUGUCGGGCUUGAGUGCAGGAGAGGUAAGUGGAAUUCCCAGUGUAGCGGUGAAAUGCGUAGAGAUUGGGAGGAACACCAGUGGCGAAGGCGACUUACUGGACUGUAACUGACGCUGAGGCGCGAAAGUGUGGGGAGCAAACAGGAUUAGAUACCCUGGUAGUCCACACUGUAAACGAUGAAUGCUAGGUGUAGGGGGUAUCGACCCCUUCUGUGCCGCAGUCAACACAAUAAGCAUUCCGCCUGGGGAGUACGGCCGCAAGGUUGAAACUCAAAGGAAUUGACGGGG